UCAGACUGUUGGCUCAAUCAGUUCAGUAUUAUCUAUACCAGAUUGCAGCUACUGUGCUUUCCAGAGGGGAUGGGAGCAGGGGUCAGUGCACAGGAAACAGAGCAGCAGGACCCAUCACCGGAGCCAGAGGGGUCCCUGUCUCCACAAACAGAGCAGGCUCUUAGGUGUAAGGAGCAGCAGCAGAGUCUGUCUUGGAGGCUGGGGCAAGCAAUAACCCACAGCCUAUCUCCCUAGCUAGCCAGGUGGAGCUCGCUAUGUGAUUCUUCAGCUGGAGUAGGCUUGGAACAGGUGAAGGUCACAUGCCUCAUUAAGCCCAGAUGCUGCAAUCAUUGAGGUGCUGUGUCUGCUCAACUAACUGCCUAUGUUGAUUCUCCAGGAUCUCUGUGGGACUUUGGGCAUGUGGACUGACCCUGGACUGGGAACUUGACAUACUGACUUCCCACCAGAGCAAAUCGGCCCAUUGCCCUCACACCCUGAAAGACGAUUCAAGACAGCUGACUAAAUGGGCUUGUAAGUAAAAAAUGAAUGAGUUGGAGCAUGUAACAGCAGCAUAUUUUGCAUUCCAACCCACAAAAUAUUCACUUCUCAAGAAGAAGGGUAAAGGUAAGCAUACCAUAUCAUGUCUUUAUGGGUGAUAUCCAACAAGGUCAGUCCACUUGGGCAAUGGAUUUUUGCUCAGGCAAAUGGGAUUUCUACUUCCUCUCCCCCUCCCCCAAGC